rnacentral:pre_miRNA from 1 species
GUUUCUCCAUGGGUGGGGAUUUGUUGCAUUACUUGUAGCUGUAUGGAGAGUAUUGCACUUGUCCCGGCCUGUGGAGGAAAG